rnacentral:tRNA from 1 species
UAAGAAAAGUUUGGAACAAAUUUCAGCUGCUAACUGAAAUUUAAGCAGUUCAAUUCUGUUUUUUCUUUA